GACGAACGCUGGCGGCGUGCUUAACACAUGCAAGUCGAACGGAAAGGCCCCUUUGGGGGUACUCGAGUGGCGAACGGGUGAGUAACACGUGAGUAACCUGCCCUUGACUUCGGGAUAACUUCAGGAAACUGGGGCUAAUACCGGAUAGGAAUCCUUGCUGCAUGGGGGGGGUUGGAAAGCUUCGGCGGUUUUGGAUGGACUCGCGGCUUAUCAGCUUGUUGGUGGGGUAGUGGCUUACCAAGGCUUUGACGGGUAGCAGGCCUGGGAGGGCGACCGGCCACAUUGGGACUGAGAUACGGCCCAGACUCCUACGGGAGGCAGCAGUGGGGAAUAUUGCACAAUGGGCGGAAGCCUGAUGCAGCAACGCCGCGUGCGGGAUGACGGCCUUCGGUUUGUAAACCGCUUUCAGCAGGGGCGAAGCUUGUGGUGACGGUACCUGCAGAAGAAACACCGGCUAACUACGU
rnacentral:rRNA from 1 species